rnacentral:rRNA from 1 species
AUUGAACGCUGGCGGCAUGCCUUACACAUGCAAGUCGAACGGCAGCAUGGGUGCUUGCACCUGAUGGCGAGUGGCGAACGGGUGAGUAAUGCAUCGGAACGUGCCCUGAAGUGGGGGAUAACGUAGCGAAAGUUACGCUAAUACCGCAUAUUCUGUGAGCAGGAAAGAGGGGGAUCGCAAGACCUCCUGCUUUAGGAGCGGCCGAUGUCGGAUUAGCUAGUUGGUGGGGUAAAGGCCUACCAAGGCGACGAUCCGUAGCGGGUCUGAGAGGAUGAUCCGCCACACUGGGACUGGAACACGGCCCAGACUCCUACGGGAGGCAGCAGUGGGGAAUUUUGGACAAUGGGCGCAAGCCUGGUCCAGCCAUGCCGCGUGAGUGAAGAAGGCCUUCGGGUUGUAAAGCUCUUUCGGUGGGGAAGAAAUUGCUUCGGCUAAUAUCCGGAGUAGAUGACGGUACCCGCAUAAGAAGCACCGGCUAACUACGUGCCAGCAGCCGCCGUAA